rnacentral:misc_RNA from 1 species
GAUGAAGAACGUAGCGAAAUGCGAUAAGUAGUGUGAAUUGCAGAAUUCAGUGAAUCAUCGGAUCUUUGAACGCACAUUGCGCCCUUUGGUAUUCCUUAGGGCAUGCCUGUUCGAGCGUCAUUUAAACCUUCAAGCUCAGCUUGGUGAUGGGUGACUGUCCUCCCCUCGCGGGGGGACUCGCCUCAAAAACAUUGGCGGCCGGUACAUUGGCUUCGAGCGCAGCAGAAACGCGGUCUCGAGCCCGGUGGAUCGGCUCCCAUAAGUCUAUUCUUUUAUUUUGACCUCGGAUCAGGUAGGGAUACCCGCUGAACUUAAGCAUAUCAAUAAGCGGAGGA